GUGGGAUAAACUCCUGGACAAGUGUCUUGGGAGAGGCCUUGCGGACAGGUUGCAUAUAACGCGACUUGAGAAAGCACAUGAGCUUUCAGCUAGGGCGUGGGAAGCGGCUAUAGCGGAGAUGCGCAGUUCAGCAUCCAGUAUUAAUGAUGAUCCGCAGUCAUCAAACGUGCCGACGCGACGCAGGACAAUCUGCACGUCUGCUGAGGAAGAAUGGGAUACGUUUUUUGGAGAGCUAGAGGAAAAUAGGUCGCUUAAUGAUAGG
rnacentral:sRNA from 1 species